AUUGAACGCUGGCGGCAUGCCUUACACAUGCAAGUCGAACGGUAACGCGGGGCAACCUGGCGACGAGUGGCGAACGGGUGAGUAAAGCAUCGGAACGUGCCCAGUAGUGGGGGAUAGCACGGCGAAAGCCGGAUUAAUACCGCAUACGACCUAAGGGUGAAAGGGGGGGAUCGCAAGACCUCUCGCUAUUGGAGCGGCCGAUGUCAGAUUAGGUAGUUGGUGGGGUAAGGGCCUACCAAGCCGACGAUCUGUAGCUGGUCUGAGAGGACGACCAGCCACACUGGGACUGAGACACGGCCCAGACUCCUACGGGAGGCAGCAGUGGGGAAUUGUGGACAAUGGGCGCAAGCCUGAUCCAGCCAUGCCGCGUGCGGGAAGAAGGCCUUCGGGUUGUAAACCGCUUUUGUCAGGGAAGAAAUCCUUUGGGUUAAUACCUCGGGGGGAUGACGGUACCUGAAGAAUAAGCACCGGCUAACUACGUGCCAGCCGCCGCCGUAA
rnacentral:rRNA from 1 species